GGCAGACGGGUGAGUAACGCGUGGGAAUCUACCUAGUUCUACGGAACAACUGAGGGAAACUUCAGCUAAUACCGUAUACGCCCUAAGGGGGAAAGAUUUAUUGGAAUUAGAUGAGCCCGCGUAAGAUUAGCUAGUUGGUGGGGUAAUGGCCUACCAAGGCGACGAUCUUUAGCUGGUCUGAGAGGAUGAUCAGCCACACUGGGACUGAGACACGGCCCAGACUCCUACGGGAGGCAGCAGUGGGGAAUAUUGGACAAUGGGCGCAAGCCUGAUCCAGCCAUGCCGCGUGAGUGAUGAAGGCCUUAGGGUUGUAAAGCUCUUUCAGUGGGGAAGAUAAUGACGGUACCCACAGAAGAAGCCCCGGCUAACUUCGUG
rnacentral:rRNA from 1 species